AUUGAACGCUGGCGGCAUGCUUUACACAUGCAAGUCGAACGGCAGCACGGGCUUCGGCCUGGUGGCGAGUGGCGAACGGGUGAGUAAUAUAUCGGAACGUACCCAGAAGUGGGGGAUAACGUAGCGAAAGUUACGCUAAUACCGCAUACGAUCUAUGGAUGAAAGCAGGGGACCGCAAGGCCUUGUGCUCCUGGAGCGGCCGAUAUCUGAUUAGCUAGUUGAUGAGGUAAAGGCUCACCAAGGCGACGAUCAGUAGCUGGUCUGAGAGGACGACCAGCCACACUGGAACUGAGACACGGUCCAGACUCCUACGGGAGGCAGCAGUGGGGAAUUUUGGACAAUGGGCGCAAGCCUGAUCCAGCAAUGCCGCGUGAGUGAAGAAGGCCUUCGGGUUGUAAAGCUCUUUUGUCAGGGAAGAAACGGUAGAGGCUAAUAUCCUUUGCUAAUGACGGUACCUGAAGAAUAAGCACCGGCUAACUACGUG
rnacentral:rRNA from 1 species